UACGUAGGGUGCGAGCGUUUAAUCGGAAUUACUGGGCGUAAAGCGUGCGCAGGCGGUUCGCCGUGUCCUGUGUGAAAGCCCCGGGCUUAACCUGGGAAUGGCAUGGGAAACUGGCGGGCUGGAGUGUGGCAGAGGGGGGUGGAAUUCCGCGUGUAGCAGUGAAAUGCGUAGAGAUGCGGAGGAACACCGAUGGCGAAGGCAGCCCCCUGGGCUAACACUGACGCUCAGGCACGAAAGCGUGGGGAGCAAACAGG
rnacentral:rRNA from 1 species